rnacentral:tRNA from 4 species
GCGUACAUCGUAUAACGGCUAUUACCCCUGCCUUCCAAGCAGGUGAUGCGAGUUCGAUUCUCGCUGUACGCUCCA